UACGUAGGGUGCGAGGCGUUGUCCGGAAUUAUUGGGCGUAAAGGGCUCGUAGGCGGUUUGUCGCGUCGGGAGUGAAAGUCCACUGGCUUAACUGGUGGCUUGCGGUCGAUACGGGCAGGCUCGAGUUCGGUAGGGGAGACUGGAAUUCCUGGUGUAGCGGUGAAAUGCGCAGAUAUCAGGAGGAACACCGGUGGCGAAGGCGGCAUCCUGGACCGACACUGACGCUGAGGAGCGAAAGCCAGGGGAGGCAAACGGG
rnacentral:rRNA from 1 species